CGGGCUUUCAUGGGGCAAAUAUUAAAUAUUUUUGUUUAUGUCUAAGAGCAACAGAGAGCCAUUUAAAUGUUUUAAUGAAGGGCAUGGUCUCAUGAUCACACUUAAACUUGAGAAUUCUGAAUGCAGAAAUGGAGAAUCCACUGGAAGAGGGAAAAGUGGAUUCAGGAGACUAACUAAUAUUCCAGAAGAUAGAUGGAGAUAUUUUAAUAUUUCAACAAUCAGGAUGCAUCUUGAAGUGAAUAUCAUCAGGAACUUUACAGCUACCAGUAAGAAGACAAAAAUGAUUUUAGCCUAAUUCUUCUUAAUAAAUGGCAAUUUUUUGAAGUCUGAGACAGACAGGUGUGAACUAUUCAUGCUUCCAAAUAAUCACCAGAAUCUUGCAAGAAUAUGUAAUAAAAUUUGGAAAUACAGGGGAAGGGGAGGGCGAUACAGGUUUAACCGAAUUUAAAGAGCAAUACACACAAAUCC
rnacentral:lncRNA from 1 species